rnacentral:rRNA from 1 species
AACGAACGCUGGCGGCAGGCCUAACACAUGCAAGUCGAGCGGACCCUUCGGGGUUAGCGGCGGACGGGUGAGUAACGCGUGGGAAUAUGCCCUUCUCUACGGAAUAGUCCUGGGAAACUGGGGGUAAUACCGUAUACGCCCUUUGGGGGAAAGAUUUAUCGGGGAAGGAUUAGCCCGCGUUGGAUUAGGUAGUUGGUGGGGUAAUGGCCUACCAAGCCGACGAUCCAUAGCUGGUUUGAGAGGAUGAUCAGCCACACUGGGACUGAGACACGGCCCAGACUCCUACGGGAGGCAGCAGUGGGGAAUCUUAGACAAUGGGGGCAACCCUGAUCUAGCCAUGCCGCGUGAGUGAUAAAGGCCUUAGGGUUGUAAAGCUCUUUCAGCUGGGAAGAUAAUGACGGUACCAGCAGAAGAAGCCCCGGCUAACUCCGU